rnacentral:piRNA from 1 species
UCUCCGGGUUCACUUUAAGAAUACC